GGGCCACAUCACGCUGAAAUACGGUUCCCGUACAAUCAGCGAAGUUAAGCAAGACCGAGUUUGGUCAGUACCUAGAUAGGUGACCACUUGGGAAGAUAAGGUGCUGUAA